rnacentral:rRNA from 1 species
GUAGGGAAUAUUGGGCAAUGGUCGGAAGACUGACCCAGCCAUGCCGCGUGCAGGAAGACGGCCCUCUGGGUUGUAAACUGCUUUUAUCUGGGAAGAAAAAGGCCAUGCGUGGCAAAUUGCCGGUACCAGAUGAAUAAGCACCGGCUAACUCCGUGCCAGCAGCCGCGGUAAUACGGAGGGUGCGAGCGUUGUCCGGAUUUAUUGGGUUUAAAGGGUGCGUAUGCGGCUGAUUAAGUCAGCGGUGAAAGACUUCGGCUUAACCGGAGCAGGUCCGUUGAUACUGGUUGGCUUGAGUGUCUGAGGGGUACAUGGAAUUGAUGGUGUAGCGGUGAAAUGCAUAGAUACCAUCAGGAACACCGAUAGCGAAGGCAUUGUACUGGCCGACAACUGACGCUGAUGCACGAAAGUGUGGGGAUCGAACAGGAUUAGAAACCCGUGUAGUCC